CGCUUCAACCAGUUUAUUCCACUUCCGCGAUAUAAAACGUUUGGUCUUUUGUCAAGUUGUCCAUUAGGGCCUUGAAAGCUUAGACGAUUUAGGGAACACCGAAAAUGCUUCUACUCCUCGACGUAUAGAUAGUGACCACUAGUAUAGAAGAACUGACCACUUUUGAUUACAUAGAGCAGCAGCCGACAACAAAAUAUGCUGAUGAAUUGAAAGACAUGGGAUUCCAAAAUAAAUUACCCAGUAAAGCUCAAUACGAAGAAGAAUUCAUCUUGUUUCUGUAACUUUUUGACAGCCUCAAUAUCAAAACUUACUCAAAGUGCGAUGCCAAACCUGAGAGGAGACAUAUUUCAAGCAGUUUCAAUGCAUGAGCAAUUUUGGACCCUAUACUAAUCUUGGAGUCUGAAAUUUUCCAAGGCAAAUAGAAAAAUAGUAAUUCCUGUAAAUUUUACUUUUAACAUCUUUACUUCUUAUAUUACCUCUUCCAUGGCUAAUUUGUUGGUAGCUAUUUAAUUUAUAUUAUUUACUAAGGAACGCUACUAGUGAAUUGAGUAAAGGGUCAUUCUUUAGUGAUUUUAUGAGAAAUGUAUUGCUUUUGUAAAUUUACUUUUACUACAUUCUGUAUACAUUCUAUUUUGCAAACUUUGCUCUUCAUAUAACAAAGUUCCUUAUUAAAUUAAGUUGUAAGUUUAUACAAUUUGGAAGAAUUUUUAUAUUUUAUUUUAUAUUUUAACAAGUAUGUAUAAAGUCCAGUGCAACGAUAUAUUAGAAUGGUCACCCGUCAAAACACCAGCAUUCCACCUGCCAAACAAUG